UCCUGGUUAUGGAGGACCCUAGGCCCAGAACUGCACAUUUUGGAUGUCUCCCUUAUUUGAGACACAUUUCAGGUCUUGCGUCCUCUACAGUGCCCCCUGUAUGUUGAAAUGUGAUGUGCCGUUAGAGUAAGUUUGCUUGACAAUAGGCCUACUGCAGUUUUGGAACAGAUUAUCUCUUUUUAUGUGCAAUAUAACAGACAAAAAUGAAGAUAUGCUGAUAUGUCACUAUAUACCAGUGCAGCUUCAGAUGUCAGAUAAGAAUGUGUCAGUUACAAAAUUUACUAGCCUAUAUCUCAGGGGGGUGAGUUUUUUUUUUUUUUUUUUUUUUUAAAUAUCAAAAGUAUCUUAAGCUCAUGAUUUUAUUUAAUCAAAACUACAGUAAAAACAUUCAAUAAUAUUGUGAAAUGUUACAAUUUAAAAAUAACUAUUUACAAAAUGUUAUUUUUUCCUGUGAUGACAAAGCUGAAUUUUCAGCGGCCAGUCUUCAGUGUCACGUGAUCCUGAAGAAAUCAUUCUAAUAUGCUGAUUUUGUGCUCAAGAAACACUUUUGAUCAACACUAGUUUGACUAGUAAACCCAUUCCAUUAAAAUUUUGCCUGCCCAAAUGGUUACGUGUAUGCUUUAUUUCAUUGAGUGGAACAUUGUUUCCACACUGAACUCAUUGACUCAUGGAAAGGAGAGCUGCCUAUAGUACAGGAUCUGUUUUUGGGAUUCUAGUUCAGUGGCUAUUUAAGUUCAGUCCAUGUGAAAUUCCCAUCAUUUUUAAAUUGGCAGUUUCUCUUAGCAGUCCUCACCACAAUGGUAUCCCGUUUGUAUGUAUGAUUAGACUCAUCUAUUAUGUAAUACAUUACAUGAGUUAGAGGGACCGUCUUAUUUUGCGUGAUUCAACUUGUGUAUAUAAACUAAACAUUAACUGCUCAUAGUGGAUAGGAAAGUGGCAGAACACUAAUCAUAGUAGAUGCAGUUCUUGGCUACAAACCCUCAAUUUAGAGCUUUAAAUUACACACAAAGUGCAAACCUUAGAUCUGCCGUGGUCCAUGGACAACAGAAUCAACCCAUCAAAAAAUAAAAAGAAGAAAACUCUCAAACAAAACUCUGACCACAGAAACCACUCAUCCAUUACUCUGACUCCAGUUCUCGCUGAGCUGCUCCGAUCAUUCCAAAACAUUACAUCAUUGCACAGAGAGGGAACAUCGCUACUAUGGCCAGAGCGGCUGCCAAGGCGUCUGCACAGGACUGUACACUGACUUCUUUGUGAUGUCCACAAUACGUAUCCAAGGCGACCCCUAGAGAGGACGGCCCAUAAAGGAACGUUUCUUGUCUUCCACGACGACACUGGUAAUGUUAAAUAUUCUUUCUCUGACUGUACUGUUGCUGACCAGACUGUUAUGGUUUGAAGAUGCUGCUGAUGUCUGCCGCAGGAACUUCCCAACAGGCCGUAGUGCAUCCAGAAGCCAUGUUUGAGGUCUGCUCAGCUUGUUUAUGUACGGUUACACCCAGAGCUGAAUUUAACCCCAGCUUCCAUCUGCUGCAGCACCCAGGGCCCUGCACGGAGAUGAGACCGGUUUGGGUCGAUUACAUUUUGGGAGUCUCUCCUAAACUGGUGCUGUUCCUCCCUCCUGGUCAUGCCACAGAGCUAGUAUUCUGGGCUUCAGUGUGCCCUAUUGGCCUAGCCACAGGCAGGCAGCCUUUCAUUACGCUAGCCGAAGGAGGUGCCCUGGACAUCCCCAUCGAAGACACCAUCACCACACCCCAAAGUGUGCCCAGCUCCUUGCGUCUCUGUAUACGUCAACAAGAGAGAUGAACAAAACAGCCACUCUGUAUGCACGUCGUUUGAUUGAAAAUUGUCAAGGGUGUUUCCAUGUCUAUGACGCUGGGCUCCGGCAUCCCCACAACCCUAAAGGGGACAAGCGGUUUGGAAACUGGAUAAAUGAAUGUCAUGGCUGGAACUACAACGCCCUCUGCUGAUGAAAUACAACUUGCAAAGCAGUUCCUUCCUUUUACAUCAUAUAAAACUGCACUGGAGCUGCAUGAACUCCACGAACCUGAUGAUCCCAAUGAUCCAGUGAGCAGGGAAGAUGGAAGAACGGAAGAACAUCUUCUCCUACGCUGUUGAUGUAGUGAACGCAGUGCAGCUCUUCCGUGUUUACGUCUGAACGACGGCUCAGUAUUGGCCGACGCUGUACAUUGGAAAAUAAUCUGAAGUGUUUCGAAGAUGAAUGAAGUUUGGUACGGUUUGGUACAACAUGAAGGUGAGUAAUUAAUGACAGAAAUGACUAACCUUUAACAAUACUCACUAUUAACUACAUGGUGCAGAAUCUGAAAUAUUUAUUAAAAAUAAAUACAAAUAUAGUAAUAUUAAUGAAUAUUAUUCGCAAUAAUAAUAUAAUAAUGUUCUUUGUUUUACUUUUUUUUCACAAACGUAAAAUUUUCAAUUUAUUACCAGUAUUACCUAGAAAUAGUGCAGAAUUUGAAAUAUUUAUUAAAUAAAGUAUAAUAUUAACAGAUAUAAUUUUCUAUAAUAAUGUUUUUUGUUUGACAUUUUUUUUGAAUACUACGAUUUUCAAUUUAUUACCACUAUUACCUAGAAAUAGUGCAGAAUCUGAAACAUUAAUUAAUUAAAUAAAUAAAGCAUAAUAAUAUUAAUGAUUAUUUACAAUAAUAAUAAUAUACUUUGUUUUACAUUUUUCAAAAUGCUAAAGUUUUCAAUUUAUUACCAGGUGUAAAUUAGAAAUCUUUUUUUUUUUUUUUUUUUUUUGAAAAAUUUUGCACGUCAACAUUUUUUGGUGCUGGUCAUAAAUGAGUUUGAAGAAACAUCUCAAGUUGGUGUGAGCUACAGUUGAAAAAUAUCUCACAGUAUAAACAAUAAAAAAAAAGAAAGAAAGAUGCAAACCAUGUUCACACAACUGCUUACCCUGGCCUUAUUUGUGCUUUAAAAGCAGUGACUAUUUGCUGACUAUUCGGCACAUAAAACUUUCAUUUGACACAUUAAUGCUGCUGAGUGGAUUAAUGUGCAGGGCGAGGGAGCUGGUUGGCCGAGGCACCCUAACGGACACUGGAAGUGAAAAGCUGUCUCAUGCUUGAUUGGACCUCACCUCCUCGCAAACUCACGCAACCUGGCAGAGUGAACUCUGACCCCCGUCUGCGCCUAAGCUGUAGUGACACGGUCAAGGUGACAUGGCAGAGCGGAGCUGACUGAGGGAAAGGCUGUGCGCUGGUCUGUAGCCCAACGUGGUCACAUUAAGAGUCCACCAGUAAAUAAUUCAGACCGAGCAGUCGCAACAAUGCAAACAUGUUGUUAUUAGUGUUUCGCUUCAAUAUUCAUAGCUGCGAGAGGGGAUGGUGUGCUCGGAGAGUAGUGAUGGAGGGUAGUGAUGCGUUUAUGCGUGUGUGGUCUAUAUGUGUAUAUUUAUGCUUGUUGGAUUAUAGGGGGUUUGCACAGUGCCAGACCGUUUUCCUUCACAGCCACUGGCAUCUAACCCAGUUUAAAGAAAUACACUAAAAAAAAAUUAUACAUUGAAUUUACUUAACUUUUUUAUGUCAACAGGUUCCACGUAACUGGGUUGUUACUACAUUUAAUUAACAUUGUGUAUUUCAGUAUAUUACAUAAGGUUAAUUCAAUGCCAUUUAGUCAGGUUAACAUUCUUAAUUUUGUCCAAAACGAUUAAGUUUAAUAAUCCUAAAAUUAAUAUCAAACAAAAAUUAAAACAAGUAAUCCAGUUUAAUUGAUUAUUUUAUUUAGUGAAUGUGUUCAAGAACUAUUUUUACAACCUUUACAAAUGUUAUCUAACAAGAAAACCUUUUACAAAACCUUUACUCUGUAAAGACUCUUAUUGUUAGGUGGUUUUGUUAUAUCCAUGGCAUGCCCAAAGUAGUUGUUUUUAUUAUUAAAACAACUUUAAUUGUUGUUAGCAGGUCCUCACCCCAAGCACAUGGUCUAACACUUCACCACAAUGGUAACCUCCAAAAACACUAACAUUCCAGAAACUCUUUUAAAUACAAGCAUAAAAGAACAUUAAACAUUAACAACACUUUAUUUCAUAACAUUUUAUUUUAAUAUUUACUCUCCCUAUCCAGCCCUGUGCAAAGCAUGAUCGGAAGGGGAAAUCCUGUUCCUAGUUUCUAUAAUGCUAUUUUAACACAACUAAAAUCAUUUAUGUACUCUCAACUCAAAUGGAUUAAAUAAAGUGAUUGAAAAGAA